rnacentral:rRNA from 1 species
GGAUUAGAUACCCUGGUAGUCCACGCCGUAAACGAUGUGUGCUAGCUGUCGGGCUUUAGGGUUCGGCGGCGCAGCGAAAGUAUUAAGCACACCGCCUGGGGAGUACGGCCGCAAGGCUAAAACUCAAAGGAAUUGACGGGGACCCGCACAAGCGGUGGAGCAUGUUCCUUAAUUCGAAGCAACGCGAAGAACCUUACCCACUCUUGACAUCUUCCUUGGGACUUUCAGAGAUGAUCGUCUUCGGUUCGGCCGGGGGAAUGACAGGUGCUGCAUGGCUGUCGUCAGCUCGUGUCG